GGGGCUGAAGCUCAGUGGCAGAGCCUCUGCUUCACAUGCGGAAAGCCCCAGGUUCAAUUCCUGACAUCUCUA
rnacentral:tRNA from 1 species